rnacentral:ncRNA from 2 species
UGCCAAGAUAGAGGUUGCGGUAGAGACUGAUUUGAACCAAGCCGGCAGGCGUCUGAGGUUUAAAUCGAGCGACAUCGCCGAACUGUCCGAUCAGGCAUGAUCGUGAUGGUGGGCCGACAUAGAAAAUAUGUCGGACUGUCUGCAGAUAACGUGCAGGAGGGCUAUCAGGAAA